ACUCCUGUGGUCUAGUUUGGAUAUGAUCCUAGCUUGCGGAGCUAGCGACUCGGGUUCGAAUCCCGACGGGGGUA
rnacentral:tRNA from 1 species